rnacentral:rRNA from 1 species
GUAGGUGGCAAGCGUUGUCCGGAAUUAUUGGGCGUAAAGCGCGCGCAGGCGGUUCGUUUAAGUCUGAUGUGAAAGCCCACGGGCUCAACCGUGGAGGGUCAUUGGAAACUGGAGAACUUGAGUACAGAAGAGGAAAGCGGAAUUCCACGUGUAGCGGUGAAAUGCGUAGAGAUGUGGAGGAACACCAGUGGCGAAGGCGGCUUUCUGGUCUGUAACUGACGCUGAGGCGCGAAAGCGCGGGGAGCAAACAGGAUUAGAUACCCUGGUAGUCCACGCCGUAAACGAUGAGUGCUAAGUGUUAGGGGGUUUCCGCCCCUUAGUGCUGCAGCUAACGCAUUAAGCACUCCGCCUGGGGAGUACGGCCGCAAGGCUG